rnacentral:rRNA from 1 species
AUGAACGCUGGCGGCGUGCCUAAUACAUGCAAGUCGAGCGAACGGACGAGAAGCUUGCUUCUCUGAUGUUAGCGGCGGACGGGUGAGUAACACGUGGAUAACCUACCUAUAAGACUGGGAUAACUUCGGGAAACCGGAGCUAAUACCGGAUAAUAUUUUGAACCGCAUGGUUCAAAAGUAAAAGGCGGUCUUGCUGUCACUUAUAGAUGGAUCCGCGCUGCAUUAGCUAGUUGGUAAGGUAACGGCUUACCAAGGCAACGAUGCAUAGCCGACCUGAGAGGGUGAUCGGCCACACUGGAACUGAGACACGGUCCAGACUCCUACGGGAGGCAGCAGUAGGGAAUCUUCCGCAAUGGGCGAAAGCCUGACGGAGCAACGCCGCGUGAGUGAUGAAGGUCUUCGGAUCGUAAAACUCUGUUAUUAGGGAAGAACAUAUGUGUAAGUAACUGUGCACAUCUUGACGGUACCUAAUCAGAAAGCCACGGCUAACUACGUG